GAAUUGACGGGGGCCCCGCACAAGCGGUGGAGCAUGUGGUUUAUUUCGAUGAUACGCGAGGAACCUUACCAGGGUUUAAAUGCAGAGUGACGUACUGGAAACCGGUAUUUCUUCGGACACUUUGCAAGGUGCUGCAUGGUUGUCGUCAGCUCGUGCCGUGAGGUGUUGGGUUAAGUCCCGCAACGAGCGCAACCCCUACCAUUAGUUGCCAGCGGUUCGGCCGGGGACUCUAAUGGAACUGCCAGCGCAAGCUGAGAGGAAGGUGGGGAUGACGUCAAAUCAUCACGGCCCUUACAUCCUGGGCUACACACGUGCUACAAUGGUAUAGACAGAGGGCAGCGACUGCGCGAGCAGGAGCGAAUCUUCAAACUAUAUCUCAGUUCGGAUCGCAGUCUGCAACUCGACUGCGUGAAGCUGGAAUCGCUAGUAAUCGCGUAUCAGCCAUGACGCGGUGAAUACGUUCCCGGGCCUUGUACACACCGCCCGUCAAGCCAUGGAAGCUGGGGGUGCCUGAAGUCGGUAACCGCAAGGAGCUGCCUAGGGUAAAACCAGUAACUAGGGCUAAGUCGUAACAAGGUAGCCGUACCGGAAGGUGUGGCUGGAUCACCUCCUUAGAGUUUGAUCAUGGCUCAGUGUGGUUGGAUCACCUCCUU
rnacentral:ncRNA from 2 species